AUGCCGCUCUUGGACAAGCUAAGGACACGCCUGGCCUGCUGGAAAGCACACCUCAUCUCCGCGGCCGGCAGGCUAGUGCUCCUCAACACGGUGCUCUCCUCCUCCACGGUCUACUGGCUGUUGGUCUUCAUUUUCCCUGCCUGGGUACGCCGUGAGAUCGACCGCCUCCGCCGAGCCUGGCUCUGGCGCGGCGAUGACUCCUGCCACGGGGGGCAUUGCAAGGUUGCAUGGGCCAAAAUAUGUCGGCCUAGAGAGCUCGGGGGGGGGAUGGGUAUCUUGGACAUCGACCGUUUCGGCACGGCUCUAAGGCUGCGCUGGCUCUGGCUCCAGCGCGCGGCGGCCGACAAGCCAUGGCAGGGCCUCCCCAUCCCCUGCUCCAUGGACGACCGCAAGCUCUUCGCGGCAGCCACACGGGUGUCCCUAGGCAAUGGGGAGCGCGCCCUCUUCUGGCACGACGGCUGGCUGAAUGGGGAAGCUCUGCUGGUGACCACGCCAAGCCUAUACGUAGCCUCUCGGCGAAAGUACAGAACGGUUGCUGAUGCGCUGCACGGCAGCAAAUGGAUCAGCGACCUGCGUGGACGGGUCCACUCAGACUCCCUCCCUGCGUUUGUUGAGCUGUGGACGAAGAUUGCUACCUUGCCGCCGUUGACGCCAGGGACCGAGGACGUUUUCUCCUAG
rnacentral:rRNA from 1 species